UGUUUGUGUGCGUUUGUGUGUGUGUACUAAUGCAUGUACAUCUGUUCACUUGUUCAUGGUACAUCUUUAACAAUGAUGGAAACCAUCUUUAAUGGGAAAGUUCUCUGCCCUCUCUGGUUUGUACCACUUUGCAUCCAUCAAACAUCUCAUGUCCACCUUGCUCCCUAGAAUAAAAGGACACAAGAACUACUCUAAACUCAAAGGUUUGCAGAUGUUUGAAGAGGCACAAAUAUUUAUCUGCAAAGAAAUCCUUUGGGAGGAACCAGAGGAGUGGAGUACAUGAGGGUGAAUUGGAGGCUGCUGAGGCCAAUCAAGAUGCAUGAGAGUCAGGAAAGGCUGGCUGAGGGAUUGCGUCUCUUCUUGGCUGGUUGAAUGGUAACUGCCCACUGGAUAAUCAGGAGUCAUGUGAGAUCCAGGUGGAAACAGCUUGCAAGGAGGAAAGCCCAGUGCAAAUGUCAAGAAUAGCACAGGAUGGAGUGGAGGAAAAGCUGCAAUCUCUGUUGAAGCAGAGGGAGCUGUCCGCCAAGCCAAAGGACUUGGCGGAAAACUGCAGCAUCACCUAGAUGUCUCCCUGAUGAGCCCAGGCUUGGAGGAAGUUUUAGAACAAAGUGGAUCCUGUACCUGGGAAAUCUGUCUUUUGUGGGCUUCUGCUCAUUGGCAAGGCUCCCAGCCACAGCCAGAGAAAGAAAACAUUAGGAGUAUUGUGCUGGUCUAUUCGACAAGAACAUUUGGGCAAAACUUUUGUUUGUUGCUGCCGAGGCCACUCAUUCCGAAGUUGACUGUGGAGGAUACUGAACACCAACAAAUGUUAAACCACCACCAAAAAGUGGUGAGCCCCAGACAACCUGCAUCUGCCACCCCCGCCUCCAAGUACCAUCAUCCUUGCAAGAUGCCAGGUAGCAGGAUAGUCCCAGACUGGAGGCUACAGUAGCCAUGCCAGCAUGACUUCAAGGCUGGCCAAAUCCAAAGAACAGCAAAAUUCUGGAAAGACUCAAUUUAUUUCUAAAAAUCCUGACAACAAAGGGGACCGUGUAUCUCCAGUAACAGGAAAUGUCCCCCACCUGUGGUUUUCUCUUCAUGGUACUUGGAAAAUACCAGCAGGAAGAGGGCAAAUGUGCUCCAGGGAAGAACAGAAAACCAAACUGGAAUAUAAUCCACCUAUGGGUCCCAAGGAAACCAGCUCUGUAAACCCUUGCAAGAACCCCAGAGGCCCAAGGCUGCCUGACACUCCCCUGAUGCUUUUUUGUCAAAGAUGAGUGGGGAGUUUUUGAAUCCUUGGGGAAGCCUGGUCCAAGUCAGUUGUUCAUUGUAUCCCUUUACAGUGUCAUGCCAUUAAAAGGCAAACAAGGAUUGGCUCUUUGGGGCUAAGUGCAGGCUGAAGAAAACAUUUUUGAUAGCCAAUACCAUAUACCAAGCCUGGGUAGGAGAAAGUGAGCACAAAAGGGUAUAUGGAUUCAGCACAGUCAGGUGAACAUCCAUAACCCUGCAAUUGAUCUCCCUAAGGUCUGACAUGGGCUAGUAAUCAUUUGAGUUCGGCUUUUUAACAGGGAGCAGCUAAGUAUUCCAGGCUGACCAGUAAGGGACCAGAGUUCCUAGUUCCAUGAGGCACCUGAUGUGAGGGAUGAUUCCCUCCUUUGCCUCCAGGGACACGGGAAUACAUGUUGGACCCAUGGGGUGGUGCCCAAACCCAUCUCCACAGGACAGAUGUGUAAAGUCGGUGAAGAAUGAAGAGUCUGACCGCCAGUUGUCUUUCAAACUGAUGGCCCCGACUAGCUCAGGCUGUCUUUACUUAUACAAGUUCUAAUGCAUUCAAACAUGAACAGUUUCAAAUCAUUUCUCUUUAAUCAUUUUCCAAGUAUCACUAACAUUUCAGUUUCUCUUUUACACUCUUUUGACGUCAUUAACAUUUACCCCAUAUCAUUAUAAUGUAAGCCAAAUGUUUAUAUUUAAAAGAUUUUAAUUGAUUGAGGAACUUGUCAGAACUGAUAAACAAGGAGAGGAGGUACAGGCCAAAGACAAUAGUAAAGAUUUAGCAUCACCAGUACCUCUUAGAGAUGACUUACCAAGUGUUUUAACUACUUAUCCUGUUUUAGCUACUUAACCUCUGAAAAGCCGGCAAAUACUCAAUACCCAAAAAGAUAUACAGAAUGUAAAUGGAAACCUAUAUGUAUGAAAGAUCUAAAAGAUAUUAAGCAGGCAAUAGUAUCUUAUGGCAUCCAUUCACCAUGUGAGAGAGAUGGUAAAGACAUGGACUUCAAGAAAUAAGGUUAGUCCACAUGAUUAGCUUCAACUAGUCUCACCUGUAUUUAGAUCAUGGUUCACAGAUUCAGUGGAAGAGUUUUUGGAGAAAAAAAAGCUAAGGCCCUUGAAUAUCAAGGUAGAGUCAGAGGUUUUGAGGCCUCCCAAGAUCAAAUUCUUGGUGAGGGCCCUUAUACUGCUAUCAAUAGACAAGUUAUAUACAAUGAACACAUCUUGUCCAUAUGCCAUACAGCAGCAGCCUUGAAUGCUUGGGACAUGAUCCAUGAACCAGGAAAAAUAAUUGAAUCAUAUAUUAAGAUUAUUCAAAGCCCAAAAGAACCCUUUAGUGACUUUUUACAUAGAUUAACUAAAGCUGUACAAAUAGGGAUAGCAGAUCUAGAAGCUAGGUGAGUAUUCAUUGCAGCUCUUCCUUUUGAAAUGCUAAUUUAGAUACUUGGGCCCUUAAAGGUCAGAUCAGCAUCAAUGGGUGAAUGGAUCCUACACAAAGCCAAUAUUGAGUCCUAUGACAAUAACACUGAGGCUUGGGUAGGAGAAGUGAUUUCCAAAGGUAUGAAAGGCAUCAAAAUACCAAAUGAUUUAAUUGUGAUAGAAUAGGCCAUCUGAGAAGGGAUUGUAGGCAGGGCAUUCCUAGAAAUUAUAUUUCUUCUGUGAAUCACCCAAAUAGAAGGCCCCCAAACUUCUGGGUUAUGCAGAAGAUGCAGCAAAGGCUGACAUUUGAGUGUAGAGCAAAAAGAGAAAAACAAAGCAAGCCAUUACCAUUGGGAAAUUUCUUGAAGGGUCUAUCGCAGGUCCCCAGAUCAAACAUGUUCCAGUCAUUCCCAGUCACUCUGGAGGACAUGCUUCACCAGGAAAAUCAGAAAAUCCAAUGUCUGUUAUAAAAAGAAAUGUACUGCUCUGAAUGAUAGAAUAACCAUGGAGGAUGAAUCAAAAAUUCAAACAGAAAAUAGAAAACAUAUUUUGGCUGACUUCUAUAAAUGAUCAAACACCAAAGUUGAGAGUAAAUAACAUUAUAAUGAAAGGAUUAUUAGACACAGGUGCAAAUGUGACUAUUAUUACUCCAGAAUCAAGGCAUCUGAAUUGGCCUCCUCAGGAGGCAGAUGUUCAGUUCUUAUUGGAAUUGGAACCCUUUCUCAGGUAAAAACAAAGCACGAGAUGAGUUGAAUUCAUAGAGCCAGAAGGACAGAGAGGCCAUAUGUGACUAAAAUAGCAGUGAGUCUAUGGGUUGUGAUAGUUGCAACAAUGGAAUACCCAGGUUAACAUUCCUGCAGUCUCAGAAAUGGACCAUAAACCAACACAUGUUUCUUGGAAGGAUAUUACAAGGUACUGUAAAAAAAAACAGUCACCAACCAUUCAGGCUAUACAAAAACAUAGAACAACUAGAAAAUUUUCAGAGGUACCGAAGUCCAUACUUUUAAAAUCAUUAACUAAGAAACUUGUAUGUGUUAAAAAAAAUGGCCUUUAACAAUAGGAAAUCUGCAGGCUUUAGAAUCGCUGGUACAAGAACAACUAGAUGCUCAGCAUAUUGAAGAUUGAACCAAUCCUUAGAAUUCUCCUGUAUUUGUUGUUAAAAAGAAAUCUGGGAAAUGGAGAAUUGUAAUAGAUCUAAGAGCUAUUAAUAAGGUGAUUCAUCCAAUGGACCCUAUAAAGUCUGGAAUUCCUUUUCAUUGUCUAUUGCCCAAAGGAUGGCCUUCUCUAGUUAUUGAUUUAAAAGGCUGCUUCUUCACUAUACCUUUAUAUGAAAAGGACAAAGAAAAAUUUGCCUUCUUAUAACAACUUAUAACAAUUCUCAGCCUGCUAAAACAUGUCAAUUAAAGAUUCUCUCACAGGGAAUGCUAAAUAGGCCCAUCCUGUGCCAAUAUUUUGUGAGUCAGCCUUUGGAAAGGACACAUAAACAAUUUCAUGAAUCUAUAGUUUACCAUUACAUGGACGACAUUUUGCUAUCUGAUUUAAAUGUAGAUACUUUAGAAAGAAUGUUUGAAGAAGUAAAGAAAGUUUUGCUUCUUUGGGUGUUACAAAUAGCUCCUGAAAAUAUACAAAGAGGAGAUUCUAUUAAUUAUUUAGGUUAUAAAAGGUUUUCAGAA